rnacentral:rRNA from 1 species
AUUGAACGCUGGCGGCAUGCCUUACACAUGCAAGUCGAACGGUAACAGGUCUUCGGAUGCUGACGAGUGGCGAACGGGUGAGUAAUACAUCGGAACGUGCCUAGUAGUGGGGGAUAACUACUCGAAAGAGUGGCUAAUACCGCAUGAGAUCUACGGAUGAAAGCGGGGGAUCGCAAGACCUUGUGCUACUAGAGCGGCCGAUGGCAGAUUAGGUAGUUGGUGGGAUAAAAGCUUACCAAGCCGACGAUCUGUAGCUGGUCUGAGAGGACGAUCAGCCACACUGGGACUGAGAAACGGCCCAGACUCCUACGGGAGGCAGCAGUGGGGAAUUUUGGACAAUGGGCGCAAGCCUGAUCCAGCAAUGCCGCGUGCAGGAUGAAGGCCUUCGGGUUGUAAACUGCUUUUGUACGGAACGAAAAGCCCCGGGUUAAUACCCUGGGGUCAUGACGGUACCGUAAGAAUAAGCACUGGCUAAUUACGUGCCAGCCGCCGCAGUAA